GGUUUUGUAGUGUAAAAAACAUGAUAAAUUGCAAAUUUAUAGAUGUGGUUAAAAUCCAUCAAAACUU
rnacentral:tRNA from 1 species